CCCAGGCCCUGAAGGGAGCAUCUCCAUGCGGGCUCGACGCUUUGACAGGAGCGCUGCAAGGUGGUGAAGCUGAGGGAUU
rnacentral:SRP_RNA from 1 species